GUCUUGUCCUGGUUAAAAAUGGCAACCAGGACCAAGAGCUGGUCCUGGUAAAACUAAGAUUUCAUAUUUGAGUGCACCAGCGCAGUGGAUGCCCGGGGAAACCUCCAGGAUAUCUUUAAUGUAGUUGGCUACAUCUACAUUAAAGAGAAGGGCGCUUCUUCGUCUCUUCACAUGUCAUUCUAUCACAUCUUAAUACAAACCCUUAUCCAACUUAAUUGUAUAAUCCUUAACAACAACUCUGUUGCAACAGCAACAUCAGGAUUCGUUUGCAGCACACAGAUCUCGAUCAAAUCCAUUUCAGGCACCACUCUUCUAACAUUAAGAUGCAACAGUCCAAGCCCUCUACAGGAGUAACAGUCCCAGGGUAUACCUAAUCUAAGCUGUUAACCUUCUUUCUAGGAGACUCACUGUGGCGCCGAUUGCUGGCGGGCCGGGGGACUUUAAACUGACGGAGAAACGAUGGCAUGGUGGGGAGGAGCCUAUGGAAGGGAGCGCACGGACAGAGAUAGAGUGGGGUGGAGGUGGGGGCGGAUGGACAGAGAUAGAGUGGCGUGGUGGUGGGGGGGAGCCUAUGGAAGGGGGCUUCACGGAGGGAGAGACAAUGGCAGAGAUCGUCUGAUUUGGCCUGACUAUCCCCUCCCCAUGCUCUCCAUCAGGGCUUUAACUUUGAUAAAGCUGUAUCCCCUGACAACAGUCCCACCGCGUGAAGUCUCCCCCUGCGACUUCCUUUUGAAAACCCCUGUCAGGCCUCAAGGUCCGAGUCCAGGCCCGACUCGGAGUCGGGCCUGGCCGUGGCGCCGUCGGCCGGGGCCGUGGCGGCGGCUGCGGCGUCGGCGGGCCGGGCCAGGUUGGCCCUGACCCGCGCCUGGUCCACGGCGUCCAGCAGGCUCUUGGAGUCCACGGCCAGCGUGUGGGCGGCGGCCAGCAUCUGGCGCUGGCAGUCCUGCCGCAGCGAGGUCACGGCGUUCUGCUGGGCCAGCCUCAUCUUGCUGAUCAGCUCGCCGAGGUCCUUGUUGAGCAGGCGCUCGGUCCCCUUGAUCUGGGGGGAGUGCAUUUAAGGGGGGGGGAGGCAGGGGGAGGGACAUGAGGGCUCGAUUAACCACAACCAUGUUCGUUGAAUUGAGCGGCUGCGUGACACAUGGUUGUGUUUUGGUCGCAGUCUAGAGCCCUGCGUGUAAUCCUUUGACCCUUUCCUGCCAAUCGCACAGGAACCCUUAGAUCAGGGGUCUCAAACUCGCGGCCCGGGGGCCAAUUGAGGCCUGCGGGAAGAAAAUUUGUGGCCCCCUGAUUGACAUCAAAGUUUAGUGUUAGUGCGGCCUUGUGAUAGGGUGACCAGAUGUCCCGGUUUUGCCGGGACAGUCCCAAUUUUGAGUUGCGUGUCCUGAGUCCUGACAAAAUUCAAAGGACGCUAAAACCUCCCGGUUUCCACCAACCACUAUGAAAUGUCACCUGUUGUCAGCGAUUACAUAGCCAGCGUGAUCUAAUUAUAGCCCGGUCAUUGACUUAGAUUGGGUCAGUUGUGCUCCUUUCUUCUGUGGAAUACUUGAUGUGGCCCAGCCUGACCCAGACUCUACCUCCAGCGGCCCCCAGGUAAGUUGAGUCUGAGACCCCUGCCUUAGAUAUAAACAUUCCAGAAUUACCCCAGCCUUUACACGGGUACGGCCUAUUUACAGGUUUGUUUUUUUCAAGCCAUAGUUGUAAGCAAGUGCGGAUUGUGUACGAUGCGGUCUGUAUUCGUUAUAACCGUGGUAAUAUGAUUGCUCUUUAAUCUUACCUACAGGACCUUAAUAAUGCAAGAAAUAGCUCUUCAAUCGUACCUACAGACCCUUUAAUAAUACAAGCAAUAGCUCUUCAAUCGUACAGACAGACCCUUCAAUAAUACUAGCAAUAGCUCUUCAAUAUUACCAACAGCCCCUUUAAUAAUACUUGUAAUAGCUCUUCAAUCGUACAGACAGCCCCUCUAAUAAUGCUAAUAAUAGCUCUUCAAUCUUCCAUCAAUAAUGCUAGUAAUAGCUCUUCAACAGCCCCCCCCAGUAAACCCACCUCGUUCCUGACGGAGCUGUGCAGGGUUGGGAGGAUCUCAUCCACACUCUGGAUCAGUGUACGCAGGUUGACCCCCACCGCCUGGCACCGACCGAC
ensembl:lncRNA